AUUGAACGCCGGCGGCAUGCUUUACACAUGCAAGUCGAACGGUAACAGGUUAAGCUGACGAGUGGCGAACGGGUGAGUAAUGCAUCGGAACGUGCCCGAUCGUGGGGGAUAACGCAGCGAAAGCUGCGCUAAUACCGCAUACGAUCUGAGGAUGAAAGCGGGGGACCGUAAGGCCUCGCGCGAUCGGAGCGGCCGAUGUCAGAUUAGGUAGUUGGUGGGGGUAAAGGCCCACCAAGCCGACGAUCUGUAGCUGGUCUGAGAGGACGACCAGCCACACUGGGACUGAGACACGGCCCAGACUCCUACGGGAGGCAGCAGUGGGGAAUUUUGGACAAUGGGCGAAAGCCUGAUCCAGCAAUGCCGCGUGCAGGAAGAAGGCCUUCGGGUUGUAAACUGCUUUUGUACGGAGCGAAAAGGUCCUUUCUAAUGCAAGGGGCUCAUGACGGUACCGUAAGAAUAAGCACCGGCUAACUACGUGCCAGCCGCCGCAGUAA
rnacentral:rRNA from 1 species